rnacentral:rRNA from 1 species
GCCUCAGUAACGGCGAGUGAAGCGGCAAAAGCUCAAAUUUGAAAUCUAGCACUUUCAGUGUUCGAGUUGUAAUUUGAAGAAGGUAACUUUGGUUUUGGCUCUUGUCUAUGUUCCUUGGAACAGGACUGUCACAGAGGGUGAGAAUCCCGUGCGAUGAGAUGCCCAAUUCCAUGUAAAGUGCCUUUCGAAGAGUCGAGUUGUUUGGGAAUGCAGCUCUAAGUGGGUGGUAAAUUCCAUCUAAAGCUAAAUAUUGGCGAGAGACCGAUAGCGAACAAGUACAGUGAUGGAAAGAUGAAAAGAACUUUGAAAAGAGAGUGAAAAAGUACGUGAAAUUGUUGAAAGGGAAGGGCUUGAGAUCAGACUUGGUAUUUUGCGUUCCCUUCCUUUUUGGUUGGGUUCCUCGCAGUUUACUGGGCCAGCAUCGGUUUGGAUGGUAGGAUAAUGACAUUGGAAUGUAGCUUUACUUCGGUGAAGUGUUAUAGACUUUGUUGAUACUGCCUAUCU